GACGAACGCUGGCGGCGUGCUUAACACAUGCAAGUCGAGCGGUAAGGCCCUUUCGGGGGGUACACGAGCGGCGAACGGGUGAGUAACACGUGGGUGACCUGCCCUCAGCUCUGGGAUAAGCCUGGGAAACCGGGGUCUAAUACCGGAUAUGACUCCAUGACGCAUGUUGUGGGGUGGAAAGCCUUGUGCGGCUGAGGAGUGGGCCCGCGGCCUAUCAGCUUGUUGGUGGGGUGAUGGCCUACCAAGGCGACGACGGGUAGCCGGCCUGAGAGGGCGACCGGCCACACUGGGAC
rnacentral:rRNA from 1 species